CUGGAUCUUCAUGUCCCUCCUUCCAACCUUAUUUAAACUUCCCCAUCCCGCUCCCCUCUUACUCCUCACCUCUCUCUCUCUCUUUUCCUCAGAUGACUUGGUUUCAAGUUUCUCUUUGCCCCUUGGGUUAAUUUAAGGCCUUUCUUGUGGUUUUAAUUGAUGGAUUUGUUGGGAUUUGAAGAGAGAAGAAGCAGCUAAGGAGUGUAGCUUUCUCAGGGUCCAAAGCUUUGGGAGAUGUGUUGCAAUCUUGUGAAUCUUCCUUUAACACUAUUCUCUGUGUGUCUUACUAUCAUUAUUUUUUUUUCUUUUUAAUUCAAAUAUUGUUGAAAUGAAAUAAUACUUUAAAUUUUAUUUCUUUCGCUAUAAACAUUAAUAUACUUUAUGCAUUAAAAUUUUAAAUUUAGAUGUGAAAACCAACUUAAAGUUUAAUUGGUUAAAAUGUUACGAUCAAAUUCAAUUUUUUAUCUAGAACUAAAAACAUUAUUUGUAAUAUUUGUCUAUUAAUUGAUCCUUGAAUAAAUUGACAAUAGUUGGAUUCCCAAAAAAAGUGUCCUAAUCAUUGUUGUUUUUUUCAUAAUUGUUAAAGGUAUUAUUGUCUCACCGAAAUUUUGAAAUAAUUUUCAAAAAAAUCAUUAAGAAUUAAAUUAAUGAUAAAUUAUAUUUAUAAAAAAAGGACAAGAAGUUAUUUAUUGAAGGGUUGGUGGGUGAAUUUCAAGUUUUUUCAAUUUCAUGCCUUGAAAUCUGAUUCUGCUCUUUUGAUAUGUUCAAUUCAAUUCUAUCUGGGAGAGAGGAAGAACAGAAGGAGAAUUUCGCACAAAUUUUGUGAUGGAUAUUGAAGUUGAUUCGGAUCCAUAGGUAGAGUUUUAGUGAAUUGCAAGAAACGAGAACUAGUAGCAAUUUUUUGAGGCUAGGGCGAGAGCGUGAGUUUGGCUAGAUCGCGACUUAGGAUGGAAUGCCUCCAGUAGUCUGAGCACAAUAGAAUCGUGAGAGACGAUUAGAAGGUGAGGCCCCUGGUACCUCUAACAAUCUUGACUCAAGGAGUUAAAAUUAAGAAGCUUGGAGACAUGAAUCCAUGUCAAGACUGCCAAACCACCCAUACAGACCACCAUGAAAACCUUGAAAAAACAAAGGUAGCAUCCUAGGCCAAUAACAGCCAGUUCGGUGUCUGCAAAGCUCCCACUUCCUUUUCUACUUCGAUAUGGUGUUGUUGAGCUAGACGUGAGGCCAGUUAAGGACGUGUGACUUGAUAGUUUGUUGGAUUAUCCUGCACAGUGGAUUUGUCUUAUGAGAGGGUGUUGAUCAUGUGGGUUGUUAGUGAUUAUCCUACACAGUGGAUCUAUCUUGUGGGAAAGCGUCGAUCAUGCAGGUAGUAGGUGAUUACCUUGCACGGUGGAUCCAUCUUGUGGGAAAUGAUUGAUCAUGCAGGUAAUCGGUGGAGUUGGCACGUACAGGGGGUAGCUCAACCAACCUUGGGCAGCUACAUGGCAUGUGGGAUGGGUUCGCCAGCUACCUCCCAUUGAUACGAGCAAACUAGCACUCUUCAUCUUGUCCCCACCUAUUAUAAAAAGUUCUUAGAGGUGACGCCUCAACGCUGGACACUGGUUACCGCCGCAGCUAUCCAAGAAUGUGCAAAACAAGAGCAACACACCUAUAAAGUUUGUGGGUCUUCUGCUAGGUCAAGGAUGCGAUGAGAGCCUACAAAUAGGUAUUUUACUCGGUAUACUUAUAUACUCACCCUCUUUCCCAUUUUUUUUUUUUUUUAAGUGCCAAUCUAGGUGGAAGAGUGUUCGAAAGCUAUCCGGUCAUAAAGUGGGUCAUUCCAGAGCAUCAAUCCAUCUUUAUAUUUUUUAGUUUUUUGUACAUUGUUUUGUAAGUGUACACUAAACCAAUUUUCUCGG